rnacentral:lncRNA from 1 species
UUCCAAGCCUAAACGAUUAAUAUUUAAUCCUUUGUCAAUCCUUUAGGUCAAGGAGCACGCUUGGCUUCUUAGCUGCUGGUCCCGCCUGUCCCACAGGGUAGUAGGCUGUUUGGCCUUCCCUUUACAUGGGAAAGGAUGUGUAUGCACACAUAAAGUACUAAACUGCUGAUAGUUUGUUUCAUGUUGACCGCAAGGAGAUGGUAUCAGAUUCAUAAGAACUUACACCCGCUUCCUAUUUCCUAUAGGAGAAUUCAUGGCAAUUCGAAGGAUGAGGAAAUCAUAGGAAAGGACAGGGAGUGAAUGGUAACAAUUUGAUCAAGAUUCUGAAAUGUCAGCAUACUCUUAUCUGUAAGAGGAAACAUAAGGAUGCAAAACCUGUAAGCGUGGGCUGGACAUUCUCAGCUCUAGCUUCAUCUGUGCACUUCACACACGUGUGCACAAAGAAACAACAAAAUCACAUGUUACCAGUCCUCAGAGAGGAAGUAGUGUUUCAAAUGGAAAAAGGUUUAACCUAG